rnacentral:rRNA from 1 species
UCCGUAGGCGGGCAAUUAAGUCAGAGGUGAAAUCCCACAGCUCGACUGUGGAACUGCCUUUGAUACUGGUUGUCUUGAGUUACAGUGAAGUAGAUAGAAUAUGUAGUGUAGCGGUGAAAUGCAUAGAUAUUACAUAGAAUACCGAUUGCGAAGGCAGUCUACUAACUGUAUACUGACGCUAAUGGACGAAAGCGUGGGGAGCGAACAGGAUUAGAUACCCUGGUAGUCC